rnacentral:rRNA from 1 species
GGGCCCGCACAAGCGGUGGAUUAUGUGGAUUAAUUCGAUGCAACGCGAAAAAACCUUACCUGGCCUUGACAUGUACCGAAUUUAGCAGAGAUGCUUUAGUGCUCGUAAGAGAACGGUAACACAGGUGCUGCAUGGCUGUCGUCAGCUCGUGUCGUGAGAUGUUGGUUAAGUCCCGCAACGAGCGCAACCCUUGCCAUUAAUUGCCAUCAUUUAGUUGGGCACUUUAAUGGGACUGCCGGUGACAAACCGGAGGAAGGUGGGGAUGACGUCAAGUCCUCAUGGCCCUUAUGGCCAGGGCUUCACACGUACUACAAUGCUACGGACAAAGGGCAGCAAACUCGCGAGAGCUAGCA